rnacentral:rRNA from 1 species
UACAGAGGGGGCAAGCGUUGUUCGGAAUUACUGGGCGUAAAGGGCGCGUAGGCGGCCCGCUAAGUCGAACGUGAAAUCCCCGAGCUCAACUCGGGAACUGCGUCCGAUACUGGCGGGCUUGAAUCCGGGAGAGGGAUGCGGAAUUCCAGGUGUAGCGGUGAAAUGCGUAGAUAUCGGAAGGAACAUCAGUGGCGAAAGCGACUUCCUGGACCAAUACUGACGCUCAUGUGCGAAAGCGUGGGGAGCAAACAGG